AAAAGCUCGUAGUUGGAUUUCUGUUAAUAAUUUAUAUAUAAUAUUUUACGAUAUUUAUAUAAUAUUAACAUAAUUCAUAUUACUAUAUUUUUAUUAGUAUAUGAAAUUUUACUUUGAGAAAAUUAGAGUGCUUAAAGCAGGCAUUUGCCUUGAAUACUCCAGCAUGGAAUAAUAUAAAAGAUUUUUAUCUUUUUUAUUGGUUCUAAGAUAAAAAUAAUGAUUAAUAGGGACAGUUGGGGGCAUUCGUAUUUAACAGUCAGAGGU
rnacentral:rRNA from 1 species